AAACUAACAAGGAUUCCCCUAGUAGCGGCGAGCGAACCGGGAAGAGCUCAAAUUUAAAAUCUGGCGUCCUUCGGGCGUCCGAGUUGUAAUCUACAGAAGUGUUUUCCGUGCUGGACCGUGUCCAAGUCCCUUGGAACAGGGUAUCAAAGAGGGUGACAAUCCCGUACUUGACACGACGACCAGUGCUCUGUGAUACAUUUUCUACGAGUCGAGUUGUUUGGGAAUGCAGCUCAAAAUGGGUGGUAAAUUCCAUCUAAAGCUAAAUAUAGGCGAGAGACCGAUAGCGAACAAGUACCGUGAGGGAAAGAUGAAAAGCACUUUGGAAAGAGAGUUAAACAGUACGUGAAAUUGUUGAAAGGGAAACGAUUGAAGUCAGUCGUGUCUGUUGGUUUCAGCUGUCUCUGGCAGUGUAUUACCAGCAGACGGGUCAACAUCAGUUUUGGACGGUGGAAAAAGGUAGGGAGAACGUAGCACCUUCGGGUGUGUUAUAGCUCCCUAUUGCAUACACUGUCCGAGACUGAGGAAUGCAGCUCGCCUUUAUGGCGCGGGGUCGCCCACGU
rnacentral:rRNA from 1 species